UUAUUACUUUUGUAUUCCCCUCCAAAAUUUUAGACUAAAAUAACCCAUUCCCUCCGAUUUCUUCCGUCUAAGUUGGGGAAACUAAAAAAAAAUACUUCAAAAAUUAAAAUCUCUCAUCCCCUGUAAAGUUCUCAUUGUUGCUGCCCUAUCGCGGAGUCGCCGCCUAUCGCCGAUCCUCACCAUAGCGCCACCAAACCCAAGCUGAAAAUAGCAUAGAGCCUACACGAGCACAAGUUUUCAUUUUAACUCAUAAACAACGUAAGGACGGUUGACCACUUGAUGAGUAGUCUUCAAGGACAAUCGACAUGAUAAAUGAAAAAUUGAGUAGUAGUAGUGAGAGAUCGAAUGACCAGCCUCCUUACAGUGUUGCUUGAAAAGGAGAUAAGUGUUGGGAAAUGAAAAAAGUGGGUAUGCUCGAGGUUUGUGACUUGGUCCAACUCCUUCGAUACUGUGGGGUGGUAAAUCUUCCAUAGAAAAUAUUGUUCCAGAGGAUUCGUCUAAUGAUGUAUGAAGGUUAGAACAAAAGAUAAUAGAGUUAACAGAGUUAAACGGAAAACAAAAUAAAGAAAUGAGUUUGAUGAAACAAGAAUUAUUAUGGAUGAGACAAGUCAUGUGCAAAAUUGCUCCUAAUGAGUUAUCAUCGCAGAAUAUCAAUCUAUUCUCAACUGAACAGGUCCCUGAUGCCAACAGUGACCAUGAACGAGUACCACAAGCGCAACGAAUGCAUAGUGUUAGUGAAAAUACUCUAUCUUCUCAUGGUUAUGCAACGAGUACCACAAACAUCAAGGAUACCUAGUGUUGCUGAAAAUACUUCACUUUCUCACGGUCAUAUAGUCUGAUGAUUGAUAAUUUUGCGGGUUGAAGAUUUCAAUAUGAUGAAGAGUUGCAGAAAUUAUUUGAAGACUAUUAUUCGUUAGGAUUAGUCAUAUAAUGACAUUAGCUAUUUACUUCAAACAAUAUAAGUUUAUUUUUAAGUUAUUGUGAUAUUAAUAUUUUGGAUUAGUACUUCCUUUUAUUUGUUAAGAUUUAAUGAGAUACAUUAUGUUUUUAUGAA